GGGGGUGAGGGUGGGGGAUUGAAGCUGUAAAAGACUCCUUUUGUCAGAGAUGUCAGACAGUCCUCUCCUGGCUUGUCUGGACAGCAGGGGGACGCGGCCCACCAACACGGCAGGUGGCGCAUUGGGCACAAGUCACUGCCGUGGUGCGUGGUGACCGUGCCCGCGCAGGCCAGCAGCACUUGGGGCUGAAAAUCGAGGAUGUGUGUUGCUCUGGAGCCGUUGCCCUCCACCCAGAGGGGUCUGCUUCAGGAGCAGCGAGAGCAGAGAGCGGGGUGCUCAGGGUGAACUGGACCAGAGAGGAAGGCCUUCCACAGGAGAGAGCCACACCCACCCCGGCUCUGAGUCAACAAUGGUGCUUGCUUGCGUCUGUCAGCAAAGAGGGGAGGGGCCUUCUCUAUCGCUCAUCAUGAGCCCCAGCAGGUGACCAGGACACAGCAGAAACGCAGUAAAUACUUGAGCUGUCGUCUGAGAAAAAGAGGGCUCACCCAGCACGGCCAAGGCGUUGCCGAGCUGAAAAUGCAAGAGGUCCUGGGAUCCAGAACACCUUGAGGAAACAGAGGCCGGAGGGGCAGCCAUGGAAGCACCCCAUCCUGUCCCCAAAACACUCCCCAUCUCAGGACACAGGGCUACAUGACCACUGACUGUGGCCAUCUGGCCCCGUCUACCCUGCCCUGCCCACGGCCAAGUCUCAACGUUCAAGUCCUUCUGCUACAGAGGGGCAGUCGGGCACAUGGGUUCUCCCAACUGCCCAGCUUUCUAACGGAGACAUCACCCCACCCACUGGAUAGGCUUGCAAAAGUCUCAGCGUCACCAUGCCUCUUGCUUUCCUCGUCAGGACAAUGAAGCUACCCCUACAAGGAC